AUUGAACGCUGGCGGCAUGCUUUACACAUGCAAGUCGAACGGCAGCGCGGGCUUCGGCCUGGCGGCGAGUGGCGAACGGGUGAGUAAUGCAUCGGAACGUGCCCAGUAGUGGGGGAUAGCCCGGCGAAAGCCGGAUUAAUACCGCAUACGACCUGAGGGUGAAAGCGGGGGACCGAAAGGCCUUGCGCUAUUGCAGCGGCCGAUGUCGGAUUAGCUAGUUGGUGGGGUAAAGGCUUACCAAGGCGACGAUCCGUAGCUGGUCUGAGAGGACGACCAGCCACACUGGAACUGAGACACGGCCCAGACUCCUACGGGAGGCAGCAGUGGGGAAUUUUGGACAAUGGGGGCAACCCUGAUCCAGCCAUGCCGCGUGCGGGAAGAAGGCCUUCGGGUUGUAAACCGCUUUUGUUCGGGAAGAAAUCCUCUGGGCUAAUACCCCGGGGGGAUGACGGUACCGAAAGAAUAAGCACCGGCUAACUACGUG
rnacentral:rRNA from 1 species